GGCCUGAGGCUCCUUUGCUCAACAGGGUCUUGUUGAUGUUGAGCAAAGCUUCAGGUGCGU
rnacentral:pre_miRNA from 1 species